rnacentral:rRNA from 1 species
GAUGAACGCUGGCGGCGUGCCUAACACAUGCAAGUCGAGCGAAGCACUUUGCUUAGAUUCUUCGGAUGAAGAGGAUUGUGACUGAGCGGCGGACGGGUGAGUAACGCGUGGGUAACCUGCCUCAUACAGGGGGAUAACAGUUAGACAUGACUGCUAAUACCGCAUAAGACCACAGCACCGCAUGGUGCGGGGGUAAAAACUCCGGUGGUAUGAGAUGGACCCGCGUCUGAUUAGCUAGUUGGUAAGGUAACGGCUUACCAAGGCGACGAUCAGUAGCCGACCUGAGAGGGUGACCGGCCACAUUGGGACUGAGACACGGCCCAAACUCCUACGGGAGGCAGCAGUGGGGAAUAUUGCACAAUGGGGGAAACCCUGAUGCAGCGACGCCGCGUGAGCGAAGAAGUAUUUCGGUAUGUAAAGCUCUAUCAGCAGGGAAGAAAAUGACGGUACCUGACUAAGAAGCACCGGCUAAAUACGUGCCAGCAGCCGCGGUAAUACGUAUGGUGCAAGCGUUAUCCGGAUUUACUGGGUGUAAGGGGAGCGUAGACGGAUGGGCAAGUCUGAUGUGAAAACCCGGGGCUCAACCCCGGGACUGCAUUGGAAACUGUUCAUCUAGAGUGCUGGAGAGGUAAGUGGAAUUCCUAGUGUAGCGGUGGAAUGCGUAGAUAUUAGGAGGAACACCAGUGGCGAAGGCGGCUUACUGGACAGUAACUGACGUUGAGGCUCGAAAGCGUGGGGAGCAAACAGG